AUUGAACGCUGGCGGCAUGCUUUACACAUGCAAGUCGAACGGCAGCGCGGGGCAACCUGGCGGCGAGUGGCGAACGGGUGAGUAAUAUAUCGGAACGUACCCAGAAGUGGGGGAUAACGUAGCGAAAGUUACGCUAAUACCGCAUACGAUCUACGGAUGAAAGUGGGGGACCUUCGGGCCUCAUGCUUUUGGAGCGGCCGAUAUCUGAUUAGCUAGUUGGUGAGGUAAAGGCUCACCAAGGCGACGAUCAGUAGCUGGUCUGAGAGGACGACCAGCCACACUGGGACUGAGACACGGCCCAGACUCCUACGGGAGGCAGCAGUGGGGAAUUUUGGGACAAUGGGGGCAACCCUGAUCCAGCAAUGCCGCGUGAGUGAAGAAGGCC
rnacentral:rRNA from 1 species